GGAAUGUGGCUCAGUGGUAGAGCGCUUGCCUACCACUCAUGAGGCAUUGGGUUCGAGGCUCAGCACCA
rnacentral:tRNA from 1 species